ACAAAGAGGUGGUGGAGGAAAACAGAUUCUUAAAACAGAAAUAAAUCUUUAAUACCAAUGUAAAAACACUUUUAAGAACACUAUGAAACUUUGAAGGUUAUCAGUAUUUUUUACACACAAAUAGAGUGGGUCUAAAAACAAUUGCAUCAAUUUUUGCAAGAAAAGAAUGUUACUACCUAAGUAUACUCUUUACUUUAAAUCUAAGAUCUAUUAGAUGUGAUUAAGCAAAGAGAAGUUAUUUAUGAGUUCUUAUUUUAUUUAAAGACAAAUUCAAUAU
rnacentral:lncRNA from 1 species